AUUGAACGCUGGCGGCAGGCUUAACACAUGCAAGUCGAGCGGGGGAAGGUAGCUUGCUACCGGACCUGGCGGCGGACGGGUGAGUAAUGCUUAGGAAUCUGCCUAUUAGUGGGGGACAACAUCUCGAAAGGGAUGCUAAUACCGCAUACGUCCUACGGGAGAAAGCAGGGGAUCUUCGGACCUUGCGCUAAUAGAUGAGCCUAAGUCGGAUUAGCUAGUUGGUGGGGUAAAGGCCUACCAAGGCGACGAUCUGUAGCGGGUCUGAGAGGAUGAUCCGCCACACUGGGACUGAGACACGGCCCAGACUCCUACGGGAGGCAGCAGUGGGGAAUAUUGGACAAUGGGGGGAGCCCUAAUCCAGCCAUGCCGCGUGUGUGAAGAAGGCCUUAUGGUUGUAAAGCACUUUAAGCGAGGAGGAGGCUACUUUAGUUAAUACCUAGAGAUAGUGGACGUUACUCGCAGAAUAAGCACCGGCUAACUCUGUGCCAGCCGCCGCGGUAA
rnacentral:rRNA from 1 species